rnacentral:rRNA from 1 species
AUUGAACGCUGGCGGAAUGCUUUACACAUGCAAGUCGAACGGUAGAGGGGGCAACCCCUCGAGAGUGGCGAACGGGUGAGUAAUAUAUCGGAACGUGCCCAGUCGUGGGGGAUAACGUAGCGAAAGUUACGCUAAUGCCGCAUACGAUCUAAGGAUGAAAGCGGGUGAUCGCAAGACCUCGCGCGAUUGGAGCGGCCGAUAUCAGAUUAGGUAGUUGGUGGGGUAAAGGCUCACCAAGCCAACGAUCUGUAGCUGGUCUGAGAGGACGACCAGCCACACUGGAACUGAGACACGGUCCAGACUCCUACGGGAGGCAGCAGUGGGGAAUUUUGGACAAUGGACGCAAGUCUGAUCCAGCCAUUCCGCGUGCAGGAUGAAGGCCCUCGGGUUGUAAACUGCUUUUGUACGGAACGAAAAGGUCUCUCUUAAUACGGGGGACUCAUGGCGGUACCGUAAGAAUAAGCACCGGCUAACUACGUGCCAGCAGCCGCCGUAA